rnacentral:rRNA from 1 species
ACGGGUGAGUAACACGUGAGCAACCUGGCUCUAAGAGGGGGACAACAGUUGGAAACGACUGCUAAUACCGCAUAACGUAUCGGGAUGGCAUCUUCCUGAUACCAAAGAUUUUAUCGCUUAGAGAUGGGCUCGCGUCUGAUUAGACAGUUGGCGGGGUAACGGCCCACCAAGUCGACGAUCAGUAGCCGGACUGAGAGGAUGAACGGCCACACUGGAACUGAGACACGGUCCAGACUCCUACGGGAGGCAGCAUG